rnacentral:tRNA from 1 species
GGCGUAGUGGCGUAGUGGCCCUGAUUGCUAUGCCGAAGGUCCCGGGUUCGAUUCCCGGCUGGGCAG